rnacentral:lncRNA from 1 species
UCCUCUGCUGUUGUGAGAUGCAAAAAUAUAUUCGUCUGCUAUUGUUUUUUUUUGUUUCAUUUUCAUUACAGUUUUUAUUAUUUUUUAAUAUUCGUUAAUUAUUUCGUUUAUGAAAAAUGUAGAUUAGUGGUUAUCCUGUUGGAUGGUUCCAAGUCAAUCGUCAAGCCUAUUACUCUUUGUUGUAGCGAAUGUGAAUAACUUUGUAAGACAAAAGGUGUUGAAGUACGCAAAAACAGCAAAGCCAGACUCUUAGUUUAUAUACAGAAGCCUUCUGUACUUGAGGAAAUGGCAAGCAUAAUUUUGAAAGAAAGAAUCUUCUGUAAUCGUUCAACUUAUACAGAUUUUUCCGAGCUGGUGAGGGAGUCAAUCGAAUCGUUUCUCUUUUGUUCCAGUGGAUGGGUGUCUUUGAGUUUGUUCCACGGCUGCUCUACACCAGUACCAAAAAUGACGUAAAACAAAUUCGUCAAAGCGUAGAUGCCUGCUGAAAGGAAGAAAACCGUUUGCCAUUGAUCGAUGGAGCCCUUGGUUGUCGAAGAUGUGAAAACACAUUAAAAUUGACAACAUACGGUGCCAGAAAUCCGCAAAUGCUGGCGACACAGUUUGUAACGCCCAUCAUAGUACCGGCGUAAUUCGAAGCAAUGUCGAUAUGAUUGGCCUAUAGAUACAAAUUCAACGUAUAAUUGCUUCAAACUAAAAAGAAAAGGUGAGCUGAAAGGAAAUUCAACACUCUUAAUUACUGUGCAAAAAUGCAUUGUUCUUUGCAUUUGUUUACCAAAGUAAGAGUGGCAACUCGGUCACAGCCUGUGUAACUCGCGCCAAUGAGUCCUAAACCUGGUAUCAGGAGCCCUGAAUAUACUGACACUAAAGGCGAUGGAAAACAGCCACAUUGCUAAAUACGGAAGGGCUGAAAGCAAUCCGUUCUAGUUCAAAAUCAGCUUACCGCUUUCAAGUCAAAGUGCAGGACGGUCUUCAUGUACGUCGGCAGUUCUGUAAGUAGCAUGGAAAGACCCCAGCUAUGGCCCAAAUGGGCAACUAGAAUAGCCCACAGGUGAAUGGAAGUCAUG